GCCGGUUGCCAGGGUGAGGAAGCGAGGAGGGCGACGUCCGCCGUCCCAUUGGUCGCGCGGGGGAUCACGUGGCCGGAAGCGAGCUGCCACGCACUCCUCUGACUCUGCUGCGAGCUAUGGAACUCACCUGGCCUUGUAGGUGCGGCGAGGACUAUACCUUGUGUCUUUUGUGUUUUUCAUGACCCUCUAUGUUCUGUACUCUACCUCAGUCAUGUUUCAAGUGCCAUCAUGUCUUCUGGCAUCAAUGCAAAACUAACAUCAACAAAUGUGAAUAUUUUCAAGCAAGCAUUUGGAGUUGUGAUUUGCCGAGGACCGAGCCAAAAACCUCAAGAAGCCUGAGCCUGGUGUUUUUUUGUUGUUGUUGUUCUUAUUCAGUGUUCAUCUCUUGCCAGAAACGGCCACUAG